rfam:Triticum aestivum genome assembly, contig: Triticum_aestivum_CS42_TGACv1_scaffold_529095_6DL
UUUAUACUCCCUCUGUUUAGAAUUACUUGUCGCAGAAAUGAAUGUAUCUAGACGUAUUUUAGUUCUAGAUACAUCCAUUUUCGAGACAAGUAAUUCCGAAUGGAGGGAGUAGGUG